rnacentral:rRNA from 1 species
ACGUAGGGUGCAAGCGUUAAUCGGAAUUACUGGGUGUAAAGCGUGCGCAGGCGGUUUGCUAAGACAGGUGUGAAAUCCCCAGGCUCAACCUGGAACUGCAUUCGAGACUGCAUGACUGGAGUAUGGGAGAGGACAGCGGAAUUUCCGGUGCAGCGGUGAAAUGCGUAGAUAUCGGAAGGAACAUCAGUGGCGAAGGCGGCUGUCUGGCCCAAUACUGACGCUCAUGUGCGAAAGCGUGGGGAGCAAACAGGA